CUUGUGGCGGCUUCAGCAGGAUAGCUGAGCUUGCUUGGAAAGUUCUGUUUUUCUCUGAGCGCUGCUGCUGGGUUCUAGGAGACAAGUUCUUGCAAGCUCCCAAUUCGAAACAUGGGUGUACUGACCUGUGAUGAUUUACACAUAAACUUCACUUGGGAAGAGUGGUCCUUGCUGGAUUCAUCUCAGAAGAGACUUUACAAAGAUGUGAUGGUGGAGACCUACAGGAACCUCACUGCUAUAGGAUACAGUUGGGAGGACCAUAAUAUUGAAGAACAUUGUCAAAGUGAUAGAAGACAUGGAAGGCAUGUAAGAAGUCAUGCUGGAGAGAAAUCAUAUGAAUAUACACAAUGUGAUAAAGCCUUCACAGGUCACAGUCAUCUUCAAAAGCGCAGAAGAAUUCAAACUGGAGAGAAAUCCUCUGAAGCACGUAGUAGUCUACAAAAACGUAAAAGAACAGAUACUGUUGACAGACUCUACAAAUGUAAUCAAUGUGAAAAAGCCUUUUCACAACACAGGUAUCUUCGAAUACAUGAAAGAACACAUACUGGAGCGAAACUCUAUGAAUGCAAUCAAUGUGAAAAAGCCUUUUCACGACACAGGUAUCUUCGAAUACAUGAAAGAACACAUACUGGAGAGAAACUCUAUGAAUGUAAUCAGUGUGGUAGAGGCUUUUUAUGUCACAGUCAUCUUCAGACACAUAAAGUAGUACAUACUGGAGUGAAACCCUAUGAAUGUAAUCAGUGUGAUAAAGCCUUUGCACAUAAGAGUACUUUGAUUAUGCAUAAAAGAACACAUACU
rnacentral:lncRNA from 1 species